CGCCUCUUGAUUAACUAUAAGAGGUCCCGCCUGCCCAGUGACAUUGUUCAACGGCCGCGGUAUCCUGACCGUGCGAAGGUAGCAUAAUCACUUGUUCUUUAAAUGGGGACUAGUAUGAAAGGCACCACGAGGGCUUUACUGUCUCCUUUCUCCAAUCAGUGAAACUGAUCUCCCUGUGAAAAAGCAGGAAUACUAAUAUAAGACGAGAAGACCCCAUGGAGCUUUAAACCCAAUGACAACCCGAACACCCCCAACCCAUUAGAGUUUUAUAAGUACUGUCCAUUGGUUUUAGGUUGGGGUGACCGCGGAGAACAAAAUAACCUCCAUGACGAACGGGACUAACCCCUAAUCCAAGAGCCACAGCUCUAAGAAUUAACAUAUUAACGUUAACUGAUCCAAUCAAUUGAUCAACGAACCAAGUUACCCUGGGGAUAACAGCGCAAUCCAUUUUGAGAGCCCCUAUCGAAAAAUGGGUUUACGACCUCGAUGUUGGAUCAGGGUACCCAGGUGGUGCAGCCGCUACCAAUGGUUUGUUUGUUCAACAAUUAAACCC
rnacentral:rRNA from 1 species